AAAUUGAAGAGUUUGAUCAUGGCUCAGAUUGAACGCUGGCGGCAGGCCUAACACAUGCAAGUCGAGCGGAAACGAGUUAUCAGAACCUUCGGGGAACGAUAGCGGCGUCGAGCGGCGGACGGGUGAGUAAUGCCUAGGAAAUUGCCCUGAUGUGGGGGAUAACCAUUGGAAACGAUGGCUAAUACCGCAUGAUGCCUACGGGCCAAAGAGGGGGACCUUCGGGCCUCUC
rnacentral:rRNA from 2 species